UCCUUUUUCAUUUAUUUUUUCAAGGUCGUUCCGAAGAAGGAGGAAGCUAGGGCUUCAGACGAUGUUGAUGUAGAUUCUACUGUAGAUGAUGUUGAUGUAGAUUCUACUGAAGAUGAUGAUGUAGAACCUGAUUAUCCUGAUGAUCCUAAGUUCAGAAAGCAGUGAGAAAGGAUGCGGAGGUGGAAUUGUAUGAGAGAUCUCUAUUUUAUUAUUAUUUGUAAUUUUUAAUAUUCUUUGUCAAGCUUAUCCUAUCCGAGUCAUUUUAAUCCUAUUUAGUAUAUAUAAAUAAAUGCUCUAUUUAUUAUUAUCAUAAA